rnacentral:rRNA from 1 species
AAAAACUCCGGUGGUGUAAGAUGGACCCGCGUCUGAUUAGCUGGUUGGUGAGGUAACGGCUCACCAAGGCGACGAUCAGUAGCCGGCCUGAGAGGGUGAACGGCCACAUUGGGACUGAGACACGGCCCAAACUCCUACGGGAGGCAGCAGUGGGGAAUAUUGCACAAUGGGGGAAACCCUGGUGCAGCAACGCCGCGUGAGUGAAGAAGUCAUUCGUGAUGUAAAGCUCUAUCAGCAGGGAAGAAAAUGACGGUACCUGACUAAGAAGCCCCGGCUAACUACGUGCCAGCAGCCGCGGUAAUACGUAGGGGGCAAGCGUUAUCCGGAUUUACUGGGUGUAAAGGGAGCGUAGACGGCGACGCAAGUCUGAAGUGAAAUGCCAGUGCUCAACACUGGAACUGCUUUGGAAACUGUGUGGCUAGAGUGCAGGAGAGGUAAGUGGAAUUCCUAGUGUAGCGGUGAAAUGCGUAGAUAUUAGGAGGAACACCAGUGGCGAAGGCGGCUUACUGGACUGUAACUGACGUUGAGGCUCGAAGGCGUGGGGAGCAAACAGGAUUAGAUACCCUGGUAGUCCACGCGGUAAACGAUGAUUACUAGGUGUCGGGGGGCUAUAGCCCUUCG